rnacentral:rRNA from 1 species
UGGGGAAUAUUGCACAAUGGGCGCAAGCCUGAUGCAGCCAUGCCGCGUGUGUGAAGAAGGCCUUCGGUUGUAAAGCACUUUCAGCGAGGAGGAAGGUGGGUGGACUUAAUACGUUCAUCAAUUGACGUUACUCGCAGAAGAAGCACCGGCUAACUCCGUGCCAGCAGCCGCGGUAAUACGGAGGGUGCAAGCGUUAAUCGGAAUUACUGGGCGUAAAGCGCACGCAGCGGUUUGUUAAGUCAGAUGUGAAAUCCCCGGGCUCAACCUGGGAACUGCAUUUGAAACUGGCAAGCUAGAGUCUCGUAGAGGGGGGUAGAAUUCCAGGUGUAGCGGUGAAAUGCGUAGAGAUCUGGAGGAAUACCGGUGGCGAAGGCGGCCCCCUGGACGAAGACUGACGCUCAGGUGCGAAAGCGUGGGGCAGCAAACAGGAUUAGA